rnacentral:rRNA from 1 species
UGAGGAAUAUUGGUCAAUGGGGGCAACCCUGAACCAGCCAAGUCGCGUGAAGGAUGAAGGUCUUAUGGAUUGUAAACUUCUUUUAUACAGGAAUAAAUUGGGGGACGUGUCCCCUUUUGCAUGUACUGUAUGAAUAAGGAUCGGCUAACUCCGUGCCAGCAGCCGCGGUAAUACGGAGGAUCCGAGCGUUAUCCGGAUUUAUUGGGUUUAAAGGGUGCGCAGGCGGGAUGUUAAGUCGGCGGUGAAAUUUUGCAGCUCAACUGUAAAAGUGCCUUCGAUACUGGCCUCCUUGAGUGUGGAUGAAGUAGGCGGAAUUUGUGGUGUAGCGGUGAAAUGCUUAGAUAUCACGAGGAACUCCGAUUGCGCAGGCAGCUUACUAAGCCACAACUGACGCUCAUGCACGAAGGCGUGGGGAUCAAACAGGAUUAGAUACCCU